UGGGGAAUUUUGGACAAUGGGCGCAAGCCUGAUCCAGCCAUGCCGCGUGAGUGAAGAAGGCCUUCGGGUUGUAAAGCUCUUUCGGACGGGAAGAAAUCGCCUCAUCUAAUAAGUGAGGUGGAUGACGGUACCGUAAGAAGAAGCACCGGCUAACUACGUGCCAGCAGCCGCGGUAAUACGUAGGGUGCGAGCGUUAAUCGGAAUUACUGGGCGUAAAGCGUGCGCAGGCGGCUCAUUAAGACAGGCGUGAAAUCCCCGGGCUUAACCUGGGAACUGCGUUUGUGACUGGUGGGCUAGAGUGUGUCAGAGGGAGGUGGAAUUCCACGUGUAGCAGUGAAAUGCGUAGAGAUGUGGAGGAACACCGAUGGCGAAGGCAGCCUCCUGGGAUAACACUGACGCUCAUGCACGAAAGCGUGGGGAGCAAACAGGAUUAGAUACCCUGGUAGUCCACGCCCUAAACGAUGUCGACUAGUCGUUGGUGGAGAGAUCCAUUAGUGACGCAGCUAACGCGUGAAGUCGACCGCCUGGGGAGUACGGCCGCAAGGUUA
rnacentral:rRNA from 1 species